rfam:Catenibacterium sp. CAG:290 genomic scaffold, scf18
GGUGACCUGAGAGUAUAUGGAUUUCCUACAUUUUUGAUAAGGGAACCUGAUUGUUUGAAAGACGGUGUUGAAGACCUGCUACGAGUAGGGAUCCUAAAGUUUUUCACAAGGUGCCCACCUGUAUUUAACAGGGAUAAUCAACGCCUCUUAGGUCUUUU